rnacentral:tRNA from 1 species
GGGUGUAUAGCUCAGUGAUAGAGUGUGUGUUUAGCAUGCAUGAAGUCCUAGGUGCAAUCCCCAAUAUCUCCA